GACGAACCGAGCGAACGUUAUUCGGAAUCACUGGGCUUAAAGGGCGCGUAGGCGGGCGGCCAAGUCAGGGGUGAAAGCCCCCAGCUCAACUGGGGAAGUGCCUUUGAUACUGGUCAUCUCGAGGGAGAUAGGGGCGUGCGGAACUUCCGGUGGAGCGGUGAAAUGCGUAGAUAUCGGAAGGAACACCGGUGGCGAAGGCGGCGACCUGGGUAGAUACUGACGCUGAGGUGCGAAAGCGUGGGGAGCAAACAGGG
rnacentral:rRNA from 1 species